rnacentral:rRNA from 1 species
UACGUAGGGGGUGAGCGUUGUCCGGAGUUACUGGGCGUAAAGCGCACGCAGGCGGUCUGUGAAGUUUGGAGUGACAGUUGGUGGCUCAACCACCAAAGUGCUUUGAAAACUGAUAGAUUUGAGGGCUUCAGAGGGACACGGAAUUCCGGGUGGAGUGGUGAAAUGCGUAGAGAUCCGGAGGAACACCAAAGGCGAAGGCAGUGUCCUGGGGAGUACCUGACGCUCAGGUGCGAAAGCCAGGGGAGCGGACGGG